rnacentral:rRNA from 1 species
CAUGCCUAACACAUGCAAGUCGCGCGGUCAGCAAUGGCAGCGGCGGACGGGUGCGUAACGCGUAGGAACGUGUCUAGAGUGGGGGACAACCCUGGGAAACUGGGGCUAAUACCGCAUAUGGGCUGAGGCCCAAAGCCGUGAGGCGCCUUUGGAGCGGCCUGCGUCCGAUUAGCUAGUUGGUGGGGUAAAGGCCUACCAAGGCUCCGAUCGGUAGCUGGUCUGAGAGGACGAUCAGCCACACUGGGACUGAGACACGGCCCAGACUCC